UACGGAGGGUGCAAGCGUUAAUCGGAAUAACUGGGCGUAAAGCGCACGCAGGCGGUUAGAUAAGUCAGAUGUGAAAUCCCCGGGCUCAACCUGGGAACUGCAUUUGAAACUGUCUGACUAGAGUCUUGUAGAGGGGGGUAGAAUUCCAGGUGUAGCGGUGAAAUGCGUAGAGAUCUGGAGGAAUACCGGUGGCGAAGGCGGCCCCCUGGACAAAGACUGACGCUCAGGUGCGAAAGCGUGGGGAGCAAACAGG
rnacentral:rRNA from 1 species